AUCGCUUCUCGGCCUAAUGGCUAAGAUCAAGUGUAGUAUCUGUUCUUAUCAGUUUAAUAUCUGGUACGCCGGCACAUUCCGGCUCAUAUAUUAUUCUGAUUUUUGGCAUUAGGUAAUGGGAUCAUAGGUUUACCCUGACCACGGGUUGCCUCGGCUUUGCACUACUGCUGAGCGCGGCCCAGAAUGA
rnacentral:snRNA from 1 species